rnacentral:siRNA from 1 species
UAAUUAUACCUAAAUUAUC